rnacentral:rRNA from 1 species
AGUGAACGCUGGCGGUAGGCCUAACACAUGCAAGUCGAACGGCAGCACAGUAAGAGCUUGCUCUUACGGGUGGCGAGUGGCGGACGGGUGAGGAAUACAUCGGAAUCUACUUUUUCGUGGGGGAUAACGUAGGGAAACUUACGCUAAUACCGCAUACGACCUACGGGUGAAAGCAGGGGAUCUUCGGACCUUGCGCGAUUGAAUGAGCCGAUGUCGGAUUAGCUAGUUGGCGGGGUAAAGGCCCACCAAGGCGACGAUCCGUAGCUGGUCUGAGAGGAUGAUCAGCCACACUGGAACUGAGACACGGUCCAGACUCCUACGGGAGGCAGCAGUGGGGAAUAUUGGGCAAUGGGCGCAAGCCUGAUCCAGCCAUACCGCGUUGGUGAAGAAGGCCUUCGGGUUGUAAAGCCCUUUUGUUGGGAAAGAAAGGCAGCAGGUUAAUACCCCGCUGUUCUGACGGUACCCAAAGAAUAAGCACCGGCUAACUUCGUG